rnacentral:rRNA from 1 species
UACGUAGGGCGCGAGCGUUUGUCCGGAAUUAUUGGGCGUAAAGAGCUCGUAGGUGGUUUGUUACGUCUGCUGUGAAAACCUAGGGCUUAACCCUGGGCCUGCAGUGGAUACGGGCAGACUAGAGGUAGGUAGGGGAGAAUGGAAUUCCCGGUGUAGCGGUGAAAUGCGCAGAUAUCGGGAGGAACACCGGUGGCGAAGGCGGUUCUCUGGGCCUUACCUGACACUGAGGAGCGAAAGCGUGGGGAGCGAACAGG